UACGAAGGGGGGCUAGCGUUGCCCCGGAAUCACUGGGCGUAAAGGGUGCGUAGGCGGGUCUUUUAAGUCAGGGGUGAAAUCCUGGAGCUCAACUCCAGAACUGCCUUUGAUACUGAGAGUCUCGAGUCCGGGAGAGGUGAGUGGAACUGCGAGUGUAGAGGUGAAAUUCGUAGAUAUUCGCAAGAACACCAGUGGCGAAGGCGGCUCACUGGCCCGGUACUGACGCUGAGGUGCGAAAGCGUGGGGAGCAAACAGG
rnacentral:rRNA from 1 species